rnacentral:rRNA from 1 species
GACAGAGGUGCCGAGCGUUAGGCGGAAUCACUGGGCUUAAAGCGUGUGUAGGCGGGCCGUUAAGUGUCUUGUGAAAUCCCCCGGCUCAACCGGGGAAUUGCUGGGCAUACUGGCGGUCUUGAGCGAUCUAGGGGCAGAUGGAACAAGUGGUGGAGCGGUGAAAUGCGUAGAUAUCGGAAGGAACACCUGUGGCGAAAGCGGCUCACUGGACCAUUACUGACGCUGAGGCACGAAAGCUAGGGGAGCAAACAGG